AGGAAUUAACGCAUAACAUUUUGUAUAAUCUGGUUUGGUAUGGGGACACACCCCCUUGACAACCAGCUGAAUCAUCUGUAUCCAUCAAUCCCCUCAUUUCCAGUUCUUGGGAUUCAUGGAGAAUUCCAGAUUUAAAAAAUGUACCUUUAACUUCAAACAGUAGCUCGAUCUUACCUCCUGUAAACAAGCAUCAUGGCUGCUAGAUCUAUGUGUCAGUUUUUACCUCCCCUCACUUCCCAUCACUUCCGUUACUACGGUUGUAUUAUUGCGCAGUAAAUUUGAACUCAUAAAAACAACACAAUUUUACACCCCCAGUUGUUUAAUUAUUUUAAAAUUAAAUUAUAAGGAAUGACUCUAAUUCUUGGCUAAAUUAUCGAGUAUAAUAUGGUUUGGGUCAGUUUACGCUUUUUUAUAAUCCACUUCGCGGAACCACUGCAGAAGGAAAGAUAAAACUAAUGAGAAAGCAUCCUCAGUAAAUUCAAGUUUGUUUAAUUCAUGACCCCAGGAGGUAGGGUGGGGCCACAAUUCAAUACUGAAAUGAAUUUUGCUUUUACAAAGGCAAAGUGCUCAGGUGAGCAAAGUUGUCCCUAGACUCUUGUUUGUGCUUGUUCCAUUCACUACUGUGUAAAAUGUGCUUACAUGAGCUCUCUCUCUCUCUCUCUCUCUCUCUCUCUCUCUCUCUCUCUCUGUAAUAUAUGUUAAAUAAAUUAUCCUUCAUAAUUAUGUUUCUUUUAUAUUUAUAGAUUGCUGAUUCAGAAGUUGAAAUCAUGAAGUUGAGCAUGGAGGAUACUUUUAAAAAUGAAAAAUCUAAACCAUUAUUAUUAGCAACUCAUUUAGUGUUGAAGUGCCCAAAUCCAAAGCCUUUUCCCAGGAUUUACUUUCACAGGAGGGAAAAUCAUCAAGGGAACUGAAAAGGGAACAAUUGCGACAUCAGAGCAUGGAGACUGGUCCUAAUCAUGUAAAAGCUAUCUUGGAUUGUGAAAGAACACUGUUAUUACAGUAACAUUGAACCACGAAAAAUAGGAAUCUUGGUGCCAUCAACGAAAAAAAACGAAGAGGAAAUAUCAAUCACAUCCAUUACAUCAACGAAAGAACACAGAGGAAAAUAAUGGCAUACAGGACAGCACCUGGAACUCAUCCGUAGGUUUAUGUAUUUAGAUGGUAUUUUCAAUAUGACUAAUGCAGACAUGCUAACAUCAGAAAGUUGGUCAGUCUCUUGAGAUAUUUGUAAAUGAAAUAUAUCAAUAGUAUAGUACUUUACUGACAUGCAUUAACUUGAUUAAUGUCAUUAACAUUGUCCAUAUUUAACCUAUAACCCCCAAGUUUUUUCAAGGUUGUUGAUGUUUAUUAACUAAUUGUAUUUUUUUAAUUUCCUAUAUGUUUUUAAUUUACUAGUUGUGCACUUGUUAUUUCUUUGAUUGCUUCUUAUGUGUUACAAACAUGUUUCUCCCAAUGUGAUUGAUAUUAUAGACUAUCUAUUUAUCAUAUUGUACGUCUGUUGACAGUCCCCAUGAUCCAAUGUGUUCUUUAUUAUAAACAUUGUAAAUAUAACAUUGUUAAAUUUAUUUUUAUUAAACUACAAUAUAUCGCUAAAUAUUUCCAGUUCUAAUUGUUUUUUCUGUGAUGUCUCUUUGAAAGUUAGUCAAGUUGAUUAUUUGAUCAUUCUACCAGAAUGUAAAUUUCACCAAGCAAUAGGUCAGGAACUUAAGAGGGCUUAAUGCAUGUAAAUGUUGUGCAUCUGUCUUUGAUUUUGAUGUCAAUUGCCAGAAACUAUUGAAAAUAAAAUGGAGGCCUCAUGUAAUUUAAAUCCAUUAUUCUACAUUUUCUUAUAAUCUAAAUUUACUAUUUUAUUUUACAAUGAAUUAGAAAUAUAAGGAAAUACUUUUUUGUUAGUAGAGUAUGCCUGGGCACCAACAAUAGUUGAAAACAUGGGCUAAAUCCAUUAUGCAUAAAUCACACGUUUCCAAGUUUCGUUGAUGCCUUGGCAUUCUCUACUAACUAGGCAGUGAUUCCUUAAAUUAAUUUUUGAUUAUGUUGUAGCAUAUUAUGGUUUUGAUAUUAAUGUCCUGAAUAUUUUGUCAUACAUAUUUAUAUGUAUAUAUAUGUUUAUAUUUAGAGCUGCAAGGCGAGAAAUUCCCUUGCUCUGAGACAAUAUUUUUCUCAAUUUUUAAAGUUUAUGGAAAAGUUGUAUGUUCUUAAAUUAUCUUUUCAGUAAUGAUAUCUUUAACACAUAUGAUUAAUUUAUUCUAUUAAAUUCCUUAUUGGUUGAUAAUGUAUUUUUAAAGUUAUCAAUAAAGCAAACUUUAGAGGAAAAAGGAUUUGUUUUGUC